UAGGGAAUCUUCGGCAAUGGACGAAAGUCUGACCGAGCAACGCCGCGUGAGUGAAGAAGGUUUUCGGAUCGUAAAACUCUGUUGUUAGAGAAGAACAAGGAUGAGAGUAAAAUGUUCAUCCCUUGACGGUAUCUAACCAGAAAGCCACGGCUAACUACGUGCCAGCAGCCGCGGUAAUACGUAGGUGGCAAGCGUUGUCCGGAUUUAUUGGGCGUAAAGCGAGCGCAGGCGGUUUCUUAAGUCUGAUGUG
rnacentral:rRNA from 1 species